UACGUAGGGUCCGAGCGUUGUCCGGAAUUAUUGGGCGUAAAGGGCUCGUAGGCGGUCCGUCACGUCGGGGAGUGAAAACUCGGAGCUCAACUCCGAGCCUGCUUCCGAUACGGGCAGACUAGAGGUAGGCAGGGGAGAGCGGAACUCCUGGUGUAGCGGUGGAAUGCGCAGAUAUCAGGAGGAACACCAGUGGCGAAGGCAGCUCGCUGG
rnacentral:rRNA from 1 species